CCCACUCAAUUCUUGUAAGAGGCUCAAAGAAACGAUACUGAAAGUGUUUUUACAUGAGGCUGCAGCAGUUUAAGCACUAGGAAAGCAGACCUGUUUGGUUCUCUGCUUUUCCUAAUUUUCUCUCUCCCUCAGCCCCUUUGUUUACCCCAGCUCUGGAGCACCCACGCAGCGGGACCAACGCGGGAUCGAAGGACUGGUGGAAAUUUCUCUGGCAAGAGGAAAAAUACCUGUCCCAUGGCAGUGCUCACCUUUGCUGACUAAGGGAGGUCAGCURUGGAAUUGUCCCACCCUGGGAGUGCAGCGAUGGAGCAGAGGAGAUGGCUCRUGUUGGCUCUGGCACUGCUUCUGGCCUUCCCUCUCUCAGAAAAUUUUAUGCUCACCUCUCCCUCAAAUGUACUUGGAAUUGUCAGCCAGGG